GGUUAAGCGACUAAGCGUACACGGUGGAUGCCCUGGCAGUCAGAGGCGAUGAAGGACGUGCUAAUCUGCGAUAAGCGUCGGUGAGGUGAUAUGAACCGUUAUAACCGGCGAUUUCCGAAUGGGGAAACCCAGUGUGUUUCGACACACUAUCAUUAACUGAAUCCAUAGGUUAAUGAGGCGAACCGGGGGAACUGAAACAUCUAAGUACCCCGAGGAAAAGAAAUCAACCGAGAUUCCCCCAGUAGCGGCGAGCGAACGGGGAGGAGCCCAGAGCCUGAAUCAGUGUGUGUGUUAGUGGAAGCGUCUGGAAAGGCGCGCGAUACAGGGUGACAGCCCCGUACACAAAAAUGCACAUGCUGUGAGCUCGAUGAGUAGGGCGGGACACGUGGUAUCCUGUCUGAAUAUGGGGGGACCAUCCUCCAAGGCUAAAUACUCCUGACUGACCGAUAGUGAACCAGUACCGUGAGGGAAAGGCGAAAAGAACCCCGGCGAGGGGAGUGAAAAAGAACCUGAAACCGUGUACGUACAAGCAGUGGGAGCCUCUUAAUGGGGUGACUGCGUACCUUUUGUAUAAUGGGUCAGCGACUUAUAUUCUGUAGCAAGGUUAACCGAAUAGGGGAGCCGAAGGGAAACCGAGUCUUAACUGGGCGCUAAGUUGCAGGGUAUAGACCCGAAACCCGGUGAUCUAGCCAUGGGCAGGUUGAAGGUUGGGUAACACUAACUGGAGGACCGAACCGACUAAUGUUGAAAAAUUAGCGGAUGACUUGUGGCUGGGGGUGAAAGGCCAAUCAAACCGGGAGAUAGCUGGUUCUCCCCGAAAGCUAUUUAGGUAGCGCCUCGUGAAUUCAUCUCCGGGGGUAGAGCACUGUUUCGGCAAGGGGGUCAUCCCGACUUACCAACCCGAUGCAAACUGCGAAUACCGGAGAAUGUUAUCACGGGAGACACACGGCGGGUGCUAACGUCCGUCGUGAAGAGGGAAACAACCCAGACCGCCAGCUAAGGUCCCAAAGUCAUGGUUAAGUGGGAAACGAUGUGGGAAGGCCCAGACAGCCAGGAUGUUGGCUUAGAAGCAGCCAUCAUUUAAAGAAAGCGUAAUAGCUCACUGGUCGAGUCGGCCUGCGCGGAAGAUGUAACGGGGCUAAACCAUGCACCGAAGCUGCGGCAGCGACACUAUGUGUUGUUGGGUAGGGGAGCGUUCUGUAAGCCUGUGAAGGUGGCCUGUGAGGGUUGCUGGAGGUAUCAGAAGUGCGAAUGCUGACAUAAGUAACGAUAAAGCGGGUGAAAAGCCCGCUCGCCGGAAGACCAAGGGUUCCUGUCCAACGUUAAUCGGGGCAGGGUGAGUCGACCCCUAAGGCGAGGCCGAAAGGCGUAGUCGAUGGGAAACAGGUUAAUAUUCCUGUACUUGGUGUUACUGCGAAGGGGGGACGGAGAAGGCUAUGUUGGCCGGGCGACGGUUGUCCCGGUUUAAGCGUGUAGGCUGGUUUUCCAGGCAAAUCCGGAAAACCAAGGCUGAGGCGUGAUGACGAGGCACUACGGUGCUGAAGCGACAAAUGCCCUGCUUCCAGGAAAAGCCUCUAAGCAUCAGGUAACAUCAAAUCGUACCCCAAACCGACACAGGUGGUCAGGUAGAGAAUACCAAGGCGCUUGAGAGAACUCGGGUGAAGGAACUAGGCAAAAUGGUGCCGUAACUUCGGGAGAAGGCACGCUGAUAUGUAGGUGAAGCGACUUGCUCGUGGAGCUGAAAUCAGUCGAAGAUACCAGCUGGCUGCAACUGUUUAUUAAAAACACAGCACUGUGCAAACACGAAAGUGGACGUAUACGGUGUGACGCCUGCCCGGUGCCGGAAGGUUAAUUGAUGGGGUUAGCGGCAACGCGAAGCUCUUGAUCGAAGCCCCGGUAAACGGCGGCCGUAACUAUAACGGUCCUAAGGUAGCGAAAUUCCUUGUCGGGUAAGUUCCGACCUGCACGAAUGGCGUAAUGAUGGCCAGGCUGUCUCCACCCGAGACUCAGUGAAAUUGAACUCGCUGUGAAGAUGCAGUGUACCCGCGGCAAGACGGAAAGACCCCGUGAACCUUUACUAUAGCUUGACACUGAACAUUGAGCCUUGAUGUGUAGGAUAGGUGGGAGGCUUUGAAGUGUGGACGCCAGUCUGCAUGGAGCCGACCUUGAAAUACCACCCUUUAAUGUUUGAUGUUCUAACGUUGGCCCGUAAUCCGGGUUGCGGACAGUGUCUGGUGGGUAGUUUGACUGGGGCGGUCUCCUCCUAAAGAGUAACGGAGGAGCACGAAGGUUGGCUAAUCCUGGUCGGACAUCAGGAGGUUAGUGCAAUGGCAUAAGCCAGCUUGACUGCGAGCGUGACGGCGCGAGCAGGUGCGAAAGCAGGUCAUAGUGAUCCGGUGGUUCUGAAUGGAAGGGCCAUCGCUCAACGGAUAAAAGGUACUCCGGGGAUAACAGGCUGAUACCGCCCAAGAGUUCAUAUCGACGGCGGUGUUUGGCACCUCGAUGUCGGCUCAUCACAUCCUGGGGCUGAAGUAGGUCCCAAGGGUAUGGCUGUUCGCCAUUUAAAGUGGUACGCGAGCUGGGUUUAGAACGUCGUGAGACAGUUCGGUCCCUAUCUGCCGUGGGCGCUGGAGAACUGAGGGGGGCUGCUCCUAGUACGAGAGGACCGGAGUGGACGCAUCACUGGUGUUCGGGUUGUCAUGCCAAUGGCACUGCCCGGUAGCUAAAUGCGGAAGAGAUAAGUGCUGAAAGCAUCUAAGCACGAAACUUGCCCCGAGAUGAGUUCUCCCUGAGACUUAGAGUCUCCUGAAGGAACGUUGAAGACGACGACGUUGAUAGGCCGGGUGUGUAAGCGCAGCGAUGCGUUGAGCUAACCGGUACUAAUGAACCGUGAGGCUUAACCUU
rnacentral:rRNA from 1 species